rnacentral:tRNA from 2 species
GGUGGAAUAGCGAAGUGGCCAAACGCGACUGACUGUAAAUCAGUUGGACAUCGUCCUUCGGUGGUUCGAAUCCACCUUCCACCACCA